rnacentral:rRNA from 1 species
GGCUGCAGAAAUUAUAACUGUACAAAGGUAGCAUAAUAAUUUGUUUUUUAAUUAAAAACUAGAAUGAAUGAUUAAAUGAAAUAUAAACUGUUUCAAUUAAAAUAAUAUUUAAUUUUUUAUUUAAGUUAAAAAACUUAAAUAUAUUUAAAAGACGACAAGACCCUAUAGAAUUUAAUUCAUAUUUUUAAUAAAAAUUUUUAUUAAUUUAUUUAAUUUAAUAUAAUAAAUUUAAUUGGGGUAAUUUAAAAAUUUAAAAAAUUUUUUUUAUAAAAAACAUUAAUUAAUGAAUAUUAUAUCUUAAAAUUUAAAUUAUUAAAAUUAAUUACCUUAGGGAUAACAGCAUAAUUUUUUUUAAAAGAUCUUAUU